rnacentral:rRNA from 1 species
AGGGUGCAAGCGUUAAUCGGAAUUACUGGGGGUAAAGCGCAGGUAGGUGGUUUGUUAAGUCAGCUGUGAAAUCCCCGGGCUCAACCUGGGAGUUGCAGUUAAAACUGGUGAGCUAGAGUAGGGUAGAGGGGKGUGRAAUUCCAGGUGAAGCGGUGAAAUGCGUAGAUAUCGGAAGGAACACCAGUGGCGAAGGCGACACCCUGGACUCAUACUGACAUUAAGGUGCGAAAGCGUGGGGAGCAAACAGGAUUAGAUACCCUGUUAGUCCACGCCGUAAAGGAUGUCAACUAGCCGUUGGGAUCCUUGAGGAUUUAGUGGCGCAGCUAACGCAAUAAGUUGACCGCCUGGGGAGUACGGUCGCAAGAUUAAAACUCAAAUGAAUUGACGGGGGCCCGCACAAGCGGUGGAGCAUGGGUUUAUUCGAUCGACGCGAAUAACCUAACCAGGCCUGACACCAAGGAACUUUCCAGAGAUGGAUUGGUGCCUUCGGGAA